GUCAAGAUUUUUAUAAGCCACCUAGGGGAUGGCUUGGCUCCAGCAGCGAUGACGGACGUGGCAAGCUGCGAUAAGCCCGGGGUAGAUGCAUGUCGAUCUUUGAACCCGGGAUUUCCGAAUCACACGGCAUGAAUAGUGCCGUGAGCCAACGCGUCGAACUGAAAUGUCUUAGUAGACGCAGGAUGAGAAAUCAAACGAGAUUUGCUGAGUAACACGAGCGAAAGGCAAGGAGGGCAAACCGAAUUCCAAUGUGCAAAUGUUGGUAGAUGUGGUCAGAUUAGUCUGGGAAUGCGAGUAGAAGGUUUUGGAAAAAACCGCCAUAGAGAGUGACAGCCUCGUAGACGUAGCAUUUCCAGAUAUGCUGAACUGAGUAGUGCGGCCUGAGUACGUCGCACGAAUACGGGGGCAUUAAACCCCAACCCUAAAUAUUGGCUGGAGACCGAUAGCGAACAAGUAGCGCGAGCGAAAGCUGAAAAGAACCCAUACGUAUGGGAUUGCAAAGAUCUGAAACUAGGUGGUUACGAGAAGGUAUGGUGUGGAAGGAAUGAAUGUCCCAGAAGUCGCCGGUAGUAAUGCCGGCACGAAGGGAAUGGACCAAUAUCAUAUCUUUCUUCUCGAAGCAAGAGCCAGGGAGUGCAUAUGUGUGGCAAGCAUGCUAGUCAUGCGAAGUGAAAGCGAGUGCGCGCAAGCAAUGAGGCGCAGGGCGUGAAAACGCCUAAGUCACCCAUAUUCGACCCGAAGCCAAUGUGAUCUAAUCGCGGCCAGGACGAAGUCGAUUUUACGAUCGAUGGAGGUCCGCAACCUGUCAUGGCAUGUCCUGUUGGGUGAGCUGCGAGUAGGGGCGAUAGACCUAUCGAACUUGGCAAUAGCGGGUCCCCUCCGAAGUAUCUUUAGGAUAGCCUCGGGCGAGCUUGCAUGCGCGGUAGAGCGACCGAUUUAGGGUUAUGAGGUUGAAAAACCUCGUCCCUUUGUCAAACUCCGAAUGCGUAUGCUGCGUAGACCCCGGGAGUCGGCGACGUUGGGUAAGCUAGCGUCACGAUGCCGUAAAGACGGUCUACAUGGUUAAGGUCCCCAAAUCCUAGUUGAGUGUAUCGAAGGAGGGCAUGGUCUUAGACAGUCGGGAGGUAGGCUCAGAAGCAGCCAUCCUUUAAAAAACGCGUAAUAGCGUACCGAUUGAGAUCGUGCUUUCUGAAGAUGGACGGGGCUAAACUAGGUACCGAAACCAUGAUCCAGAAUAGGAGGUAGGAGGGCGUGCUGCACAUCUAGAAGCAUGGGCUUGAGCUCAUGUGGAAUGUGCAGUUGAGAAAAUCCUGGUAUAAGUAACAGCAUAAAAUGGUGAGAAUCCAUUUCGACUGAAGCACAAGGUUUUCCUUGAAAUGAUCGUCAGCUGGGAGUUAGCCGAUCCUAAGAGCUAGGCCAAUCACCAUAGCUCGAAAGGGAAGCAUGUUAAUAUUCAUGCGCUUUGUACGUAGGCGUGGCAACACAAGGUGUAUUUCCGACGUUUGGGGAUAGGGCUGCAAACAGGUGCAAACGGCUGCGGAGUCUCAUUAUGAGGAGAAGCAGCUAAAUGAACUGCCAAUGCCCGAAUUCCUGAUCCAGUGAAAAGGGAAUACGCAACGAUCGUACAAAAUCGUACCUAGAUCCAGUACAGGUGCUGCUGGCUGAAAAAGCCAAGUCGUGUCAGGGGAAUCCUGGUUAGGGAAAUCGGCCAAAUAGUAGCGUAUGUUAUCUACAAGCUAUGCCUGCGAUUAGGAAUUGCAGGUAUCAUUAUCAAGGGGACAGCGACUGUUUAUCAAAAACACAACUCGCCGCACAGCCGUAAGGCUGAGUACAGCGGGUGACGCCUGCUCACCGCUAGUCAGCGAAACCCGGUUUCAACCGGCCUAAGCCCUAGCAAAGAGCGGGAGUAACUCUGACUCUCUUUAGGUAGCGUAAUACCUCGUCGCUUAAUAGGCGACUUGCAUGAAGGGCGUAACGACUGUCCCACUGUCCCAACUAGGAACCUGGUGAAAUUACUACGUGGUGUACAUGCCACGUUCUCUCAGUGGGUAGCGAAGUCUCUAUGAAACUUGACUAUAGUCUGUUGCUGUCGUGUGAAGGGCGUUGCACAGCGUAAGUGGGAGCGUCGAAGCCGGGUUCCGGCCUUGGCUGAGCGUCAAUGUAACACCACUCUUCGCUUUUUACAUGGCUUACUAGAAAUAGGACAACUGCAGAUGGAUAGUUGGACUGGGCGGUUGCUUUCGAUAAAGAAACGAAAGUGAUCGAUGCUCUGCUUAGCUGGUUUGGAAAGCCAGCGUGAAGCGCAAAGGCAAAUGCAGGGCUGACUGUGUUCCGAAAAGCGGGGAACGCAGACUGGAAACAGCGACUUAACGAACGUUGGAUGCUCUUUUAAUGGGGCACCAAGCUGUCAAACAAGUUACUCUAGAGGUAACCGGUUCGUGGCGGGUGAUAGUUCACAUAGACCCCGCCGUUUGAUACACCGAUAUGGGCUUAUCUCAUCCUGGGGGUGCAGGAGCCCCCAAGGGUUGGACUGCUCGUCCAUUAAAGAGAUACAUGAGCUGAGUUCAGUACGUCGCGAGACAGUACGGUAGCAACUACUGGGAGUGUUAGUGUCAGAGGAUAAGAAAUCUUUAAUACGAGAGGAACGAGAUUUCGGCGCCUCUAGUGGACCGGUUGUCGCAAGGCACUGCCGGGUAGCCACGCGCUAAGCGGAUAAGCCCUGAAAGCAUCUAAGGACGAAGCCGCAUCCGAAACGAGACAUUUAGGGUGGGGAUAUUACAUCCCUUUGAUAGGGCGGGCGUGUAAGCAGCGAGCUUCGGCGAGCUGUGAGCGCACCGCAACUAAAUCCUUACAACAAACUUUUG
rnacentral:rRNA from 1 species